UACUAAAUCAGGGUGGUAGUUACAAGUG
rnacentral:sRNA from 1 species